rnacentral:rRNA from 1 species
GACGAACGCUGGCGGCGUGCCUAAUACAUGCAAGUAGAACGCAGUUGCGAACGGGUGAGUAACGCGUAGGUAACUGCCUCAUAGCGGGGGAUAACUAUUGGAAACGAUAGCUAAUACCGCAUACUGUGAGAUGGAUCUGCGUUGUAUUAGCUAGUUGGUGAGGUAAAGGCUCACCAAGGGGACGAUACAUAGCCGACCUUGGAGGGGGAACCGCCAAAAUGGGACUGGGGCACGGCCCAGGCUCCUACGGGGAGCCGCAGUAGGGGAUCUUCGGAAAUGGGCGGAAGGCUGACCGAGCAACGCCGCGGGAGUGAAGGAGGUUUUCGGAUCGUAAAGCUCUGUUGUUAGAGAAGCGGUACCUGACCAGAAAGGACCGGCUAACUACGUGCCAGCAGCCGCGGUAAUAC